rnacentral:rRNA from 1 species
UCUUAUCACCAUUCCAGAUUGAAUAUACCCGAUCUCGUCUGGUCUCGGAAGUCAAGCAAUCUCUGGCUUGGUUAGUACUUGGAUGGGUGACCGCUUGGGAAUACCAAGUGUGAUAAGCA